GAUUAUUGUGAAGAGAAGGAAGUCUGAGAGGCGAUUAGCCUGUUAUCUGGUAGCUAAGCUGCAUACUUAUGAUAUGUGCUGCGAUGCUGUACUUUAUGGCGUGUAAGGUUGGAUGGAUCGAUUAUAUCCCCAUAUACGGUGUGCAAAGAUGGGUGGGUCGAUUUUAUCCCCACAUGGUGUGUUGGGUUGGACGGAGAUGGUGUGCAGGGUAAUCCCCGGUAAUAGAUGCAUCGGUGCGACGGAGGGCUCGAUGGUGACCAUUGGUAGACAUUUAAUGGUUUUAUGAAUAACAUUUAUUUUCCUGUUUUACCUUAAAAGUUGUUUUUGGGGAUUGGAUAUGCAUUCGGACUCGAACUGUUUUUGGGUAUAUUUUGGGAUUUUAAAUUGAUAGAUUAUUGAUUUAAGAAUUAAUGACGUUUUAGCUUUCGUGUUUAUGAAA